rnacentral:misc_RNA from 1 species
UGCCCCGGUAUCGCGAGGCCCGCCUCCGGCCCGAGCGCGGCCUGGUCCUGCAUCGCGACCUCGUACUCACCCUCGACGACGACAUCGGCUUUCGCGUCCGGGUCGCCGUGCACGACACGGACGUCCUCGAUGACAUUGCCGUCCUUCGCGUCGUGGAGCUUCGGGGCAUCCGGCUGUAGCGCGGCCACGACGUCGGUGACCGCGGGCAGCAGCUCGUACUCGACCUUGAUCGCCUUCGUCGCGAGACGCGCCUGCUCGGGAUCGUCCGCGGCGACGAUCGCCACCGCUUCGCCGACAUAGCGCACGACGUUCGUCGCGAGCACCGGCUGGUCCGCGCGCAUCAGGCCGAACUUCUCCGUCGUGGGAAGGUCGUCCGACGUGAUCACCGCGCGCACG